rnacentral:rRNA from 1 species
CCCUUAGAUGUCCUGGGCAGCACGCGUGCUACAAUGAUGCAUUCAACGAGUCUUGCCUUAACCGAAAGGUUCGGGUAAACUUUUGAAAUUGCAUCUUGUCGGGGCUUGAUCAUUGUAAUUUUUGAUCACAAACAAGGAAUUCCUUGUAAAUGUGAGUCAUCAACUUGCAUUGAAUACGUCCCUGCCCUUUGUACACACCGCCCGUCGCUCCUACCGAUUGAGUGGUCCGGUGAGGCUUUGGGAUCUGAGCGGAAAGAGCGUUUCGCUGUUUCUGCUCGGAAAACUCAGUCGAACCUUAUCAUUUAGAGGAAGGAGAAGUCGUAACA